ACUUCUUGGGAAGAUCCUUCACAACAAGCAAUGGUAAGUGGAGUGAUCAUUUCAUCCAUUCCCAAUCGUGAUCAUUACUAAUUUCACAAUAACACCACAGACCUCAAACACUUGCAUCAUAAUGUACCCUAAAACAGAAAAACCAAAUAUAAAAACGUAAUAAAGUAAAAUAACAAAAUUAUUAGAAAAGUAACAAAAUAUUGAAAAUAAC
rnacentral:lncRNA from 1 species